AAGGACGUGCUAAUCUGCGAUAAGCGUCGGUAAGGUGAUAUGAACCGUUAUAACCGGCGAUUUCCGAAUGGGGGAACCCAGUGUGUUUCGAAACACUAUCAUUAACUGAAUCCAUAGGUUAAUGAGGCGAACCGGGGGAACUGAAACAUCUAAGUACCCCGAGGAAAAGAAAUCAACCGAGAUUCCCCCAGUAGCGGCGAGCGAACGGGGAGCAGCCCAGAGCCUGAAUCAGUGUGUGUGUUAGUGGAAGCGUCUGGAAAGGCGCGCGAUACAGGGUGACAGCCCCGUACACAAAAAUGCACAUACUGUGAGCUCGAUGAGUAGGGCGGGACACGUGGUAUCCUGUCUGAAUAUGGGGGGACCAUCCUCCAAGGCUAAAUACUCCUGACUGACCGAUAGUGAACCAGUACCGUGAGGGAAAGGCGAAAAGAACCCCGGCGAGGGGAGUGAAAAAGAACCUGAAACCGUGUACGUACAAGCAGUGGGAGCACGCUUAGGCGUGUGACUGCGUACCUUUUGUAUAAUGGGUCAGCGACUUAUAUUCUGUAGCAAGGUUAACCGAAUAGGGGAGCCGAAGGGAAACCGAGUCUUAACUGGGCGUUAAGUUGCAGGGUAUAGACCCGAAACCCGGUGAUCUAGCCAUGGGCAGGUUGAAGGUUGGGUAACACUAACUGGAGGACCGAACCGACUAAUGUUGAAAAAUUAGCGGAUGACUUGUGGCUGGGGGUGAAAGGCCAAUCAAACCGGGAGAUAGCUGGUUCUCCCCGAAAGCUAUUUAGGUAGCGCCUCGUGAAUUCAUCUCCGGGGGUAGAGCACUGUUUCGGCAAGGGGGUCAUCCCGACUUACCAACCCGAUGCAAACUGCGAAUACCGGAGAAUGUUAUCACGGGAGACACACGGCGGGUGCUAACGUCCGUCGUGAAGAGGGAAACAACCCAGACCGCCAGCUAAGGUCCCAAAGUCAUGGUUAAGUGGGAAACGAUGUGGGAAGGCCCAGACAGCCAGGAUGUUGGCUUAGAAGCAGCCAUCAUUUAAAGAAAGCGUAAUAGCUCACUGGUCGAGUCGGCCUGCGCGGAAGAUGUAACGGGGCUAAACCAUGCACCGAAGCUGCGGCAGCGACGCUGAUGCGUUGUUGGGUAGGGGAGCGUUCUGUAAGCCUGCGAAGGUGUGCUGUGAGGCAUGCUGGAGGUAUCAGAAGUGCGAAUGCUGACAUAAGUAACGAUAAAGCGGGUGAAAAGCCCGCUCGCCGGAAGACCAAGGGUUCCUGUCCAACGUUAAUCGGGGCAGGGUGAGUCGACCCCUAAGGCGAGGCCGAAAGGCGUAGUCGAUGGGAAACAGGUUAAUAUUCCUGUACUUGGUGUUACUGCGAAGGGGGGACGGAGAAGGCUAUGUUGGCCGGGCGACGGUUGUCCCGGUUUAAGCGUGUAGGCUGGUUUUCCAGGCAAAUCCGGAAAAUCAAGGCUGAGGCGUGAUGACGAGGCACUACGGUGCUGAAGCAACAAAUGCCCUGCUUCCAGGAAAAGCCUCUAAGCAUCAGGUAACAUCAAAUCGUACCCCAAACCGACACAGGUGGUCAGGUAGAGAAUACCAAGGCGCUUGAGAGAACUCGGGUGAAGGAACUAGGCAAAAUGGUGCCGUAACUUCGGGAGAAGGCACGCUGAUAUGUAGGUGAAGUCCCUCGCGGAUGGAGCUGAAAUCAGUCGAAGAUACCAGCUGGCUGCAACUGUUUAUUAAAAACACAGCACUGUGCAAACACGAAAGUGGACGUAUACGGUGUGACGCCUGCCCGGUGCCGGAAGGUUAAUUGAUGGGGUCAGCGCAAGCGAAGCUCUUGAUCGAAGCCCCGGUAAACGGCGGCCGUAACUAUAACGGUCCUAAGGUAGCGAAAUUCCUUGUCGGGUAAGUUCCGACCUGCACGAAUGGCGUAAUGAUGGCCAGGCUGUCUCCACCCGAGACUCAGUGAAAUUGAACUCGCUGUGAAGAUGCAGUGUACCCGCGGCAAGACGGAAAGACCCCGUGAACCUUUACUAUAGCUUGACACUGAACAUUGAGCCUUGAUGUGUAGGAUAGGUGGGAGGCUUUGAAGUGUGGACGCCAGUCUGCAUGGAGCCGACCUUGAAAUACCACCCUUUAAUGUUUGAUGUUCUAACGUUGACCCGUGAUCCGGGUUGCGGACAGUGUCUGGUGGGUAGUUUGACUGGGGCGGUCUCCUCCUAAAGAGUAACGGAGGAGCACGAAGGUUGGCUAAUCCUGGUCGGACAUCAGGAGGUUAGUGCAAUGGCAUAAGCCAGCUUGACUGCGAGCGUGACGGCGCGAGCAGGUGCGAAAGCAGGUCAUAGUGAUCCGGUGGUUCUGAAUGGAAGGGCCAUCGCUCAACGGAUAAAAGGUACUCCGGGGAUAACAGGCUGAUACCGCCCAAGAGUUCAUAUCGACGGCGGUGUUUGGCACCUCGAUGUCGGCUCAUCACAUCCUGGGGCUGAAGUAGGUCCCAAGGGUAUGGCUGUUCGCCAUUUAAAGUGGUACGCGAGCUGGGUUUAGAACGUCGUGAGACAGUUCGGUCCCUAUCUGCCGUGGGCGCUGGAGCACUGAGGGGGGCUGCUCCUAGUACGAGAGGACCGGAGUGGACGCAUCACUGGUGUUCGGGUUGUCAUGCCAAUGGCACUGCCCGGUCGCUAAAUGCGGAAGAGAUAAGUGCUGACAGCAGCUAAGCACGAAACUUGCCCCGAGAUGAGUUCUCCCUGACUCCUUGAGAGUCC
rnacentral:rRNA from 1 species